GAUGAACGCUGGCGGCGUGCCUAAUACAUGCAAGUCGAGCGAACGGACGAGAAGCUUGCUUCUCUGAUGUUAGCGGCGGACGGGUGAGUAACACGUGGAUAACCUACCUAUAAGACUGGGAUAACUUCGGGAAACCGGAGCUAAUACCGGAUAAUAUUUUGAACCGCAUGGUUCAAAAGUGAAAGACGGUCUUGCUGUCACUUAUAGAUGGAUCCGCGCUGCAUUAGCUAGUUGGUAAGGUAACGGCUUACCAAGGCAACGAUGCAUAGCCGACCUGAGAGGGGGAUCGGCCACACUGGAACUGAGACACGGUCCAGACUCCUACGGGAGGCAGCAGGAGGGAAUCUUCCGCAAUGGGCGAAAGCCUGACGGAGCAACGCCGCGGGAGUGAUGAAGGUCUUCGGAUCGUAAAACUCUGUUAUUAGGGAAGAACAUAUGUGUAAGUAACUGUGCACAUCUUGAGGGUACCUAAUCAGAAAGCCACGGCUAACUACGU
rnacentral:rRNA from 1 species